rnacentral:rRNA from 1 species
UACAGAGGUCUCAAGCGUUGUUCGGAUUCAUUGGGCGUAAAGGGCGCGUAGGCUGCGGGGCAAGUCGGGUGUGAAAUCUCAGAGCUCAACUCUGAAACUGCACUCGAUACUGCUUUGCUCGAGGACUGGAGAGGAGAUUGGAAUUCACGGUGUAGCGGUGAAAUGCGUAGAUAUCGGAAGGAACACCAGUGGCGAAAGCGGCUUCCUGGUCCAGCACCGACGUUCAGGCACGAAAGCGUGGGGAGCAAACAGG